AUAGCGUAUAUUAAAGUUGUUGCAGUUAAAAAGCUCGUAGUUGAACCUUGGGCCUGGCCGGCCGGUCUGCCUCACCGCAUGCACUGGUUUGGUUGGGCCUUUCCUUCUGGGGAGCCGCAUGUCCUUUACUGGAUGUGUUGGGGAACCAGGACUUUUACUUUGAAAAAAUUAGAGUGUUCAAAGCAGGCAAUUGCUCGGAUACAUUAGCAUGGAAUAAUAGAAUAGGACGUGUGGUUCUAUUUUGUUGGUUUCUAGAACCACCGUAAUGAUUAAUAGGGAUAGUCGGGGGCAUCAGUAUUCAAAUGUCAGAGGUGAAAUUCUUGGAUUAUUUGAAGACUAACUACUG
rnacentral:rRNA from 1 species